ACCCGCUGAACUUAAGCAUAUCAAUAAGCGGAGGAAAAGAAACCAACAGGGAUUGCCCUAGUAACGGCGAGUGAAGCGGCAACAGCUCAAAUUUAAAAUCUGGCUCUUUUAGAGUCCGAGUUGUAAUUUGCAGAGGGCGCUUUGGCUUUGGCAGCGGUCCAAGUUCCUUGGAACAGGACGUCACAGAGGGUGAGAAUCCCGUACGUGGUCGCUGGCUAUUGCCGUGUAAAGCCCCUUCGACGAGUCGAGUUGUUUGGGAAUGCAGCUCUAAAUGGGAGGUACAUUUCUUCUAAAGCUAAAUAUUGGCCAGAGACCGAUAGCGCACAAGUAGAGUGAUCGAAAGAUGAAAAGCACUUUGGAAAGAGAGUCAAACAGCACGUGAAAUUGUUGAAAGGGAAGCGCUUGCAGCCAGACUUGCUUACAGUUGCUCAUCCGGGCUUUUGCCCGGUGCACUCUUCUGUAGGCAGGCCAGCAUCAGUUUGGGCGGUAGGAUAAAGGUCUCUGUCACGUACCUCUCUUCGGGGAGGCCUUAUAGGGGAGACGACAUACUACCAGCCUGGACUGAGGUCCGCGCAUCUGCUAGGAUGCUGGCGUAAUGGCUGU
rnacentral:rRNA from 1 species